UACGUAGGUGGCGAGCGUUGUCCGGAUUUACUGGGCGUAAAGAGCGCGCAGGCGGCUGGUCAAGUCCGAUGUGAAAGCUCCCGGCUUAACUGGGAAAUUGCAUCGGAAACUGAUCGGCUGGAAGGUGGGAGAGGGUAGCGGAAUUCCCGGUGUAGUGGUGAAAUGCGUAGAUAUCGGGAGGAACACCGGUGGCGAAGGCGGCAUCCUGGACCGAUACUGACGCUGAGGAGCGAAAGCCAGGGGAGCAAACAGG
rnacentral:rRNA from 1 species